rnacentral:tRNA from 1 species
GGGGCUGUAGGUUAAUUAGAUCAUAGGUUUUCAAAACUUAGGGCGUGAGUUACAAUCUCACCGGCCCCU